rnacentral:tRNA from 1 species
GAAUUCGGUAGACGAUACGGACUUAAAAUCCGUUGGCUUUUUAGACCAUGAGGGUUCAAGUCCCUCUACCCCCA